GAUGAACGCUGGCGGCGUGCUUAACACAUGCCAGUCGAACGGAAAGGCUCCUGCUUGCAGGGGUACUCGAGUGGCGAACGGGUGAGUAACACGUGGGUGAUCUGCCCUGCACUUCGGGAUAAGCCUGGGAAACUGGGUCUAAUACCGGAUAGGACGAUGGUUUGGAUGCCAUUGUGGAAAGUUUUUUCGGUGUGGGAUGAGCUCGCGGCCUAUCAGCUUGUUGGUGGGGUAAUGGCCUACCAAGGCGUCGACGGGUAGCCGGCCUGAGAGGGUGUACGGCCACAUUGGGACUGAGAUACGGCCCAGACUCCUACGGGAGGCAGCAGUGGGGAAUAUGGCACAAUGGGCGCAAGCCUGAUGCAGCGACGCCGCGUGGGGGAUGACGGCCUUCGGGUUGUAAACUCCUUUCGCUAGGGACGAAGCGCAAGUGACGGUACCUGGAGAAGAAGCACCGGCUAACUACGUG
rnacentral:rRNA from 1 species